rnacentral:rRNA from 1 species
CCUACGGGAGGCAGCAGUGGGGAAUUUUGGACAAUGGGCGCAAGCCUGAUCCAGCCAUGCCGCGUGCAGGAUGAAGGCCUUCGGGUUGUAAACUGCUUUUGUACGGAACGAAAAGACUCCUUCUAAUAAAGGGGGUUCAUGACGGUACCGUAAGAAUAAGCACCGGCUAACUACGUGCCAGCAGCCGCGGUAAUACGUAGGGUGCGAGCGUUAAUCGGAAUUACUGGGCGUAAAGCGUGCGCAGGCGGUGAUGUAAGACAGAUGUGAAAUCCCCGGGCUCAACCUGGGACCUGCAUUUGUGACUGCAUCGCUAGAGUACGGUAGAGGGGGAUGGAAUUCCGCGUGUAGCAGUGAAAUGCGUAGAUAUGCGGAGGAACACCGAUGGCGAAGGCAACCCCCUGGACCUGUACUGACGCUCAUGCACGAAAGCGUGGGGAGCAAACAGGAUUAGAUACCCUGGUAG